UGAUAAUUAACUAUAGCUACGAACGUACAUAAUCCACAUAUAAAAUACGAAAGCAAGCAUUAUUUCUCAAAGAAAAAUGUACUCUUUGGUGACUUCUUGUAUGUGGGGAGCAGUCACGACUGCUUCCUCCCUAAUAAUCCCGUUAUUUUCCAUAUAUUGGGCUCUGCUGUUCAAUAACGCUAUUGGUGUCAAUCAAGUGGCAGCUCAAGAUGGACCCAUUGAAUGGAAUCCAUGGGAUUUGCGUUCCACACGAAUAAAAAAAGGCAAGAGAAGAAGGGGAAGAACACGUGAAAAACCGCCCAGGUCUUCUGUUAUUUAGAUAAGUGCAAUAAAGUAUCAAGCAUUUAGGGGUUUUAUUAUUUUAUUUAAAAAUAUAUUUUUGCUUGCUUAUUUCAUAAUUUGGUCAAAACUAAGAGACUCCAAUCUCGUGGAAAACGAAAUACCUAAUAACUAAUUCUAAGAAAUACCUAAAAUACCUUUAUGAAGUAUAUGAUUUUCUUUAUUUAUAACUUGUUUCUUUAUGUACAUAUAUAUGUAAUUAUUAUUUUUUUA